rnacentral:rRNA from 1 species
GACGAACGCUGGCGGCGUGCUUAAUACAUGCAAGUCGAACGGAAAGGCCCUGCUUUUGUGGGGUGCUCGAGUGGCGAACGGGUGAGUAACACGUGAGUAACCUGCCCUUGACUUUGGGAUAACUUCAGGAAACUGGGGCUAAUACCGGCUAGGAGCUCCUGCUGCAUGGUGGGGGUUGGAAAGUUUCGGCGGUUGGGGAUGGACUCGCGGCUUAUCAGCUUGUUGGUGGGGUAGUGGCUUACCAAGGCUUUGACGGGUAGCCGGCCUGAGAGGGUGACCGGCCACAUUGGGACUGAGAUACGGCCCAGACUCGUACGGGAGGCAGCAGUGGGGAAUAUUGCACAAUGGGCGGAAGCCUGAUGCAGCAACGCCGCGUGCGGGAUGACGGCCUUCGGGUUGUAAACCGCUUUCGCCUGUGACGAAGCGUGAGUGACGGUAAUGGGUAAAGAAGCACCGGCUAACUACGUG